AGUGAACGCUGGCGGUAGGCCUAACACAUGCAAGUCGAACGGCAGCACAGUAAGAGCUUGCUCUUACGGGUGGCGAGUGGCGGACGGGUGAGGAAUACAUCGGAAUCUACUUUUUCGUGGGGGAUAACGUAGGGAAACUUACGCUAAUACCGCAUACGACCUACGGGUGAAAGCAGGGGAUCUUCGGACCUUGCGCGAUUGAAUGAGCCGAUGUCGGAUUAGCUAGUUGGCGGGGUAAAGGCCCACCAAGGCGACGAUCCGUAGCUGGUCUGAGAGGAUGAUCCGCCACACUGGCACUGAGACACGGUCCAGACUCCUACGGGAGGCCGCAGUGGGGAAUAUUGGGCAAUGGGCGCGAGCCUGAUCCAGCCAUACCGCGUGGGUGAAGAAGGCCUUCGGGUUGUAAAGCCCUUUUGUUGGGAAAGAAAAGCAGCAGGUUAAUACCCCGCUGUUCUGACGGUACCCAAAGAAUAAGCACCGGCUAACUUCGUG
rnacentral:rRNA from 1 species